AUUUUAAUAGCUUAUAUAGAGCAUAAUAUUGAAGAUAUUAAUGAGAAUAAAUUUCUUAAAAUA
rnacentral:tRNA from 5 species